GUUACUAGCAGAUGGCUAUAUAAUGUGUUUCACAACACGUCAGGUAGUGCUAACUACAGGCGUGGAUUGUAUGCUGGUGUGGAGGGUUUUCAUCAUGAUUAAUACGAAGGCCAUUAUCGAAGUACCGAAGUAGACACAGAUACCGUAAUGGGUAUGGGAGGGAAAGAGAAUGGGGUGAUGACAAAUAUGGUAGUCGUGAUGGAGAUCGUUAUGGUGAAGUGCGAUAUGGCUGAGAUUGUUAUAGAGAUGCGAAUGUCCAUGGUAGAAGAAGUUCUGAUGGUGACAACUACGUCCGAAGAAGUAGAAGCUCUGAUAGACACCGGGGGCUUAUGAAAUAAGGACCAUAUUCUUCAAGUUUUAUGCAGGCUCGUUUAAUGAUGCUAAAGGAAGCAUAAAAUAUGAUCCACAUUUAUUUUUGUUUGUCUUAUUGCGGAGAAAGCAACAAGAUAGGUGAUGGUCAAUCUCAGGAAGAAAGGUAAUUUGGUUUUACAUUUUGUAAACUGUAUUGCACUUGUCCAUCAAGUUUUUUCGUACUUAGAAUCUUGAAUGAAAUUAUCAAAAACAUAGAUACACACACAUUGGCACAUUGCACGGAUUGUUAUC